rnacentral:tRNA from 1 species
GGGUGCGUAGCUCAGUGGGAGAGCGCUUCCUUGACGCGGAAGAGGUCGCAGGUUCAAUCCCUGCCGCACCCA